GUAGUCACAAUUUUUGCGAAGACAUUACUAAAAAAUGAUUCGUUUGAAACCUUUCAUAGUCUUGAUUUUUUUUCUUGCUGUAAUUUCAUACAAUAGCAGAGUAAUAUGCCUGGCAAGCAAGCUUGUUCAACAAGGACCUAAAAACCAAAACCAAAAUUCGUUAGUUGCAUUGCGUGCAAAAAUAGUGGACUUCUGCAAAAAAAAUCCAAACGCCUGUCCUUUAAAUACGGACUCGAUAACAGAAAGAUAACAAGGUUGACGAAUGGCAUGUUUACCUUGAAACCUUGAAAUUGUUUGAAAGAAAAAGAAGAAGAAAAAGAAGAAAUUAUUUAAUUUCAUAAAAAUGGUUAACUUGUUUGUAAAAACAGAAGAAAUUUUAUUAAAAACGAAAACCCUCGAUACUUUACAUAAGACAAUAGAGUUUUAGGCUGUAAA